rnacentral:rRNA from 1 species
GACGAACGCUGGCGGCGUGCUUAACACAUGCAAGUCGAACGAAGAGCGAUGGAAGCUUGCUUCUAUCAAUCUUAGUGGCGAACGGGUGAGUAACGCGUAAUCAACCUGCCCUUCAGAGGGGGACAACAGUUGGAAACGACUGCUAAUACCGCAUACGAUCUAAUCUCGGCAUCGAGGAUGGAUGAAAGGUGGCCUCUACAUGUAAGCUAUCACUGAAGGAGGGGAUUGCGUCUGAUUAGCUAGUUGGAGGGGUAACGGCCCACCAAGGCGAUGAUCAGUAGCCGGUCUGGGAGGAGGAACGGCCACAUUGGGACUGAGACACGGCCCAGACUCCUACGGGAGGCAGCAGUGAGGAAUCUUCCGCAAUGGACGAAAGUCUGACGGAGCAACGCCGCGUGAGUGAUGACGGCCUUCGGGUUGUAAAGCUCUGUUAAUCGGGACGAAAGGCCUUCUUGCGAAUAGUGAGAAGGAUUGACGGUACCGGAAUAGAAAGCCACGGCUAACUACGUG